AGUGAACGCUGGCGGUAGGCCUAACACAUGCAAGUCGAACGGCAGCACAGUAAGAGCUUGCUCUUACGGGUGGCGAGUGGCGGACGGGUGAGGAAUACAUCGGAAUCUACUUUUUCGUGGGGGAUAACGUAGGGAAACUUACGCUAAUACCGCAUACGACCUACGGGGAAAGGCCGGGGUCUUCCGACCUUGGGGGGUUGGAAGCGGCGAUGUCUGGUUAGCUAGGUUGCCGGGUAAAGGGCCACCAAGGCCACCAUUCGGAGCUGGUCUGAGAGGAUGAACAGCCACACUGGAACUGAGACACGGUCCAGACUCCUACGGGAGGAAGCAGUGGGGAAUAUUGGACAAUGGGCGCAAGCCUGAUCCAGCCAUACCGCGUGGGUGAAGAAGGCCUUCGGGUUGGAAAGCCCUUUUGUUGGGAAAGAAAAGCAGCAGGUUAAUACCCCGCUGUUCUGACGGUACCCAAAGAAUAAGCACCGGCUAACUUCGUG
rnacentral:rRNA from 1 species